rnacentral:misc_RNA from 1 species
CAACCCUCAAGCUCUGCUUGGUAUUGGGUGUUACCUUGCCUGCCUUGCCUGGUACACCUUAAAAUCAGUGGCAGUACUAUUCAACUUCAAGCAUCAUAAUACUUCUUGCUUUGGAGAUUGGAUGUUUGCUUGCCAACAACCCCUAGUUAUGAAA